CAGCCGUGCAUGCCAGGCGG
rnacentral:misc_RNA from 1 species